rnacentral:lncRNA from 1 species
ACCAAUUGAUCACAUUAGAUGAGUUUCCUUCUAUUAUCACUCUUGCAUACUCCUUAGUCAAUUUAAGAAACCCAUAAUACAAUGCCAAAAACUCAGCCUCGUUCAUCAUGCAGGAGUGAAGAUAUCCAUGAUAGAAUCAAAGCAAAUUCCCUGAAGAGUCACGUACCAGUCCUCCAUAGCCAACCAUUUGGCCAUUUCCACUUACACUUCCAUCAAAGUUUAAUUUGUAGCAUUCUUGAUCUGGUCUGAUUAUCCUCUUCUUUGAAGUGGAUAACAGUUCCCUACAAUGGGUGAGUAAAAAUGCUUUCGGCGUAGCUAGAAAUGUUGGUUGUGCUUAUACCCAGUGAGUUAUGGACGAGUGGAUGACAUUACAUAUAUGUUCUUUAUUUCUAGUUCUGUCCUUCAAAUUGCCUUGAUAUGUGAGCUAGAUCAACUCAAGUCUCUUGCGGAGCCAGUUAAAUUUUUAAAAUCAAUAGAAAGGGUGGGGUUGCUCAAAUUAUAAGUUUAGGGGCAUAAUAGAUCUUUGCAAAUCCGGUCCUCCUCUAAACCUAUUGGCAGCGUCAAUUCCAAAAUCUUUUUAUUUGGACGUUUAAAAAGCUAAAAUUCUAACUAAAUCUAAAAAUAAAUAAAUAAGUAAAACAAUAAGGAUAAAAUAAAGAAAGAUAUCUGGAAAACGCGGAUUUGAAGCCCGCAUCAGGACCAGAGGUUGAGUUGCAUUUUUGAUGCCUUCUCUUGCUUUCUUGAGAUUUUCCCUAAUUUUAUAGGGUUUUAGGAUUUUUUCUAUUUUUUAGGUAUUUUGGACAAAUUUUUUAAUUUUUUGGGCC